rnacentral:lncRNA from 1 species
GGGAAACAGGUGAUACUACACGGAAAACGUGGGGGCGACGUAAUGACGAUUUGCACACAACAAAUGGAGAAGGUUUUGCAUAAAGCAUGCAGUGGAAUUUUAGUACAACUUGAGCAGCAAACUAAGGGAGAGCCAAUAAAAUUUGAAGAUCCAAAUCUACUUCCUUUACUUGCUGAAUUUUCAGAUAUAUUUGACGAACCG